rnacentral:rRNA from 1 species
GCGGUACGCGAGCUGGGUUCAGAACGUCGUGAGACAGUUCGGUCCCUAUCCGUCGCGGGCGCAGGAAAUUUGAGAGGAGCUGUCCUUAGUACGAGAGGACCGGGAUGGACACACCGCUGGUGUACCAGUUGUCCUGCCAAGGGCAUCGCUGGGUAGCUAUGUGUGGACGGGAUAAGUGCUGAAAGCAUCUAAGCACGAAGCCCCCCUCAAGAUGAGAUUUCCCAUGGCGCAAGCCAGUAAGAUCCCUCGAAGAAGACGAGGUGGAUAGGUCCGGGGUGGAAGUGUGGCGACACAUGGAGCUGACGGAUACUAAUCGAUCGAGGACUUCUCCU